rnacentral:tRNA from 1 species
GGAAUUUGUGCCUCAGUGGUAGAGUGCUUGCCUAGUAUGCAUGAGGCGCUGAGUUUGAUCCUUAGCACCA